rnacentral:rRNA from 1 species
AUGAACGCUGGCGGCGUGCCUAACACAUGCAAGUCGAGCGAGAAGCUGAUGACUGAUUCUUCGGAUGAGAGAUUCAGUGGAAAGCGGCGGACGGGUGAGUAACGCGUAGGCAACCUGCCCUUUGCAGAGGGAUAGCCAUUGGAAACGAUGAUUAAAACCUCAUAAUACCUUUUUCCUGCAUAGGAGAGAGGUCAAAGAUUUAUCGGCAAAGGAUGGGCCUGCGUCUGAUUAGCUGGUUGGUGGGGUAACGGCUCACCAAGGCGACGAUCAGUAGCCGACCUGAGAGGGUGAUCGGCCACAUUGGAACUGAGACACGGUCCAAACUCCUACGGGAGGCAGCAGUGGGGAAUAUUGCACAAUGGGCGAAAGCCUGAUGCAGCAACGCCGCGUGAAGGAGGAAGGCCUUCGGGUCGUAAACUUCUGUCCUUGAGGAAGAAGAACUGACGGUACUCAAGGAGGAAGCCCCGGCUAACUACGUGCCAGCAGCCGCGGUAAUACGUAGGGGGCAAGCGUUAUCCGGAAUUAUUGGGCGUAAAGAGUGCGUAGGUGGUUACCUAAGCGCAGGGUAUAAGGCAAUGGCUCAACCAUUGUUCGCCCUGCGAACUGGGCUACUUGAGUGCAGGAGAGGAAAGCGGAAUUCCUAGUGUAGCGGUGAAAUGCGUAGAUAUUAGGAGGAACACCAGUGGCGAAGGCGGCUUUCUGGACUGUAACUGACACUGAGGCACGAAAGCGUGGGGAGCAAACAGGAUUAGAUACCCUGGUAGUCCACACCGUAAACGAUGGAUACUAGGUGUAGGGUGUAUUAAGCAUUCUGUGCCGUCGCAAACGCAAUAAGUAUCCCACCUGGGGAGUACGGCCGCAAGGUUGAAACUCAAAGGAAUUGACGGGGGCCCGCACAAGCAGUGGAGUAUGUGGUUUAAUUCGAAGCAACGCGAAGAACCUUACCAGGACUUGACAUCCCUCUGACAGGACCUUAACCGGUUCCUUCUACGGACAGAGGAGACAGGUGGUGCAUGGUUGUCGUCAGCUCGUGUCGUGAGAUGUUGGGUUAAGUCCCGCAACGAGCGCAACCCUUGCCAUUAGUUGCCAGCAGUAAGAUGGGCACUCUAAUGGGACCGCCGGGGACAACUCGGAGGAAGGUGGGGAUGACGUCAAAUCAUCAUGCCCCUUAUGUUCUGGGCUACACACGUGCUACAAUGGCCGGUACAGAAAGUCGCGAAGCCGCGAGGCGGAGCCAAUCUCGAAAACCGGUCCCAGUUCGGACUGCAGGCUGAAACCCGCCUGCACGAAGUCGGAGUUGCUAGUAAUCGCGGAUCAGCAUGCCGCGGUGAAUGCGUUCCCGGGUCUUGUACACACCGCCCGUCACACCAUGGAAGUUGGGGGUGCCCGAAGCCGGCAGGGGAAUAUGCUGUCUAAGGCAAAACCAAUGACUGGGGUG